rnacentral:rRNA from 1 species
UACGAAGGGGGCGAGCGUUGUUCGGAUUUACUGGGCGUAAAGGGCGCGCAGGCGGUCUUGAAAGUCAGGCGUGAAAGCCCCGGGCUUAAUCUGGGAAUUGCGCUUGAUACUCUGAGACUGGAGUACGGGAGAGGAGAGUGGAAUUCCCAGUGUAGAGGUGAAAUUCGUAGAUAGUUGGGAAGAACACCAGUGGCGAAGGCGGCUCUCUGGACCGUAACUGACGCUGAGGCGCGAAAGCGUGGGGAGCAAACAGG